rnacentral:rRNA from 1 species
GUUUCUUCCUGUAUAAAAGCAGUUUACAAUCCAUAGGACCGUCUUCCUGCACGCGGCAUGGCUGGAUCAGGCUUGCGCCCAUUGUCCAAUAUUCCUCACUGCUGCCUC